UACGGGGGGGGCAAGCGUUGUUCGGAAUUACUGGGCGUAAAGGGUCCGUAGGUGGCUUGCUAAGUCAGACGUGAAAUCCCUCGGCUUAACCGGGGAACUGCGUCUGAGACUGGCGAGCUUGAGUGCAGGAGAGGAACGCGGAAUUCCCAGUGUAGCGGUGAAAUGCGUAGAUAUUGGGAGGAACACCAGUGGCGAAGGCGGCUCACUGGACCGGUACUGACGCUGAUGCGCGAAAGCGUGGGGAGCAAACGGG
rnacentral:rRNA from 1 species